AGCAGAGCACGCCGAAGCUUUGUCGGAAACCACCCUGUCUCCCCAGACCUCCCAGUAUAUUAUAACACAGUGAUGUUUCCCUGACGCAUUUGCCCCAGCUGAGCGCUGGGCUCACUCACUCGUUCAACAAGCAGAGACUGAGCUCCAGGACAGGUCUCACAUCAGAAGCCACAUUCCAACCAGAGCCUGAGCUCCAGGCACCAUGCACCGAGCUGUCAAUGGAAGCAAUAGCCCCACGGAGAAACAGCCAUGAAGCUCCAGGAAGCCCAGGCUCAAGGACUACCACGUUCCUCUCACAAACAGGCAAAACAGGCUGAAGUGGGAACAGCAAGAUUUGACAGAAGACCUCUGGGUCAAAUCGGCAAGGCCUUCCGCAGAAAAGCCGAGUACGACAACUCACAGACCCAAGAGCCCCACCACCCGGAAGUGGUUCUUAAAGCGCACAGGCGUGAGAAAACACAGAUGGAGUGGAACAGGCAAUGUUGUAGCUGUACGCAGAAGACAUCACACCACGCUGGAGAUUUUUAGAAGUCUUGGAAGACCUCAGGAUACAAAGAGGUUUUUUGGUUUGGUUCCCCCCGCCC